rnacentral:misc_RNA from 1 species
GUCGGCGCCGCCGUGUGGUGGGCGUGGGUCGGAGCACGGCACAGUGACACCAGCGCGGCCGCCGCCGAACAGUGACGCCGUGCCCUGCCGGGGUCACAGAGUAGCAGCGACCUUUCGCCAGCUGGGGAAGGGAUUGUACGGCCAUCAUGAGCAGUGAGAGGAAGAAGCGCGGCAUGCCGCUCCACCAGGUCAGCAUAGAGUCGCCGGGACCCACCAUGAAGGGGUGCGUCUUCAACUUCGACGUGCCCAUGCCGGAGGUGCCGCCCUCCGGCGCCCGGAUCAGGGUGAUGUGUGCCGGCGUGUGCUACCGCUCGAAGCGCUCCAUGUCGAUCAACAGCGGCGCAUCGCUUUCCUCGAUCGGCUCCGACCACUCGAGCUGCAGCAACAAGGGCGUGCGCGACACGUCGCUGUUCCCCGGUUUCGAGGUUGCCGGUCAGAUUGAGAGCUUCGGUGAAAAUGUGGAUCCGAAAUGUGGUCUGAAGGUCGGCGACAAUGUCAUUGUGUACCCGUACAUAGGAUGUCCCGAAGGGUACGCCGAGUACGUGGCCGUCGAGGACGUCCAGUACCUGGUCAAGGUGCCGGACGAGGUACCCAUGCCGGUGGCCUCCAUGCUGCCCAGCGGCGGCCUGUGGGCCAUGAACUCUGUGUUCACCGCCAGACAAUACGUCGAGAAGCUGCUGAAAGAGCGCGGCGACAAAGGCAAGGUGAACGUUCUGGUGGUGGGCACGGGCGGCCUGGCGCUCUGGGCGAUCCGGAUCGGGCGCCACUACUUCCCCGAGUGGACCGAGGGCCAGGCGGUGCGACUGACUGUGGCGGUGCUGCGUGACGAGGGCCUGCAGAGCAUCACCGAGCAGGAGCACCAAAACGCCACCGACAUGUCGGAGGAGCCCGGAAUUCACGGCCGGGUGAACAUCGUCCAGUGGAGCGAGGACUGCUACGAGACCCAGCUGAUCGAGCGAACCAUCAACGCCUGCGAGGGCAACGUCGACAUCAUCAUCGACUUCGCUGCCAACCCGCGCUCCAUGAACCGCUCCCUCAAGUGCCUAUCCAAGGGCGGUGUGAUCGUGAUCGGCGCCGAGACUGCCCAGCGCUACGUCAGCCGGUUCGAGAGCGUGGCGCAGGCCAGCGAUCAGACCAUCGUGCCCGUCGAGAUGGGCUCCCUCGAGCAGCUGCACACACUCGUACAUCUCAUCGCCUCCAAAAAGGUGGAGCCGCCCCCUUACAACCUGUUCCCGUCCGACAAGGCUGAGGAGGUCUUCAUGAAGCUGGGCCGCGCCAAAAUCCACGGCCGCGCCAUCCUGCACUUUGACCCGAUCCCGGACGCCCCGGAGACGUGAACUGCGCCGGAACACAGCGGAGACCCGCAGUUGUACGGCGGAGGCGCGGCGCCACCUGUGGACAGUUGCGCGGCGCCGCCUGCA